CUGCACCGUGUGCUACAGCCUCUCUCUCUCAUCCAUUAUUCUCGUCGCUAAUCGCCGCACCCUUGCUCUCUCUCGCCCUCGUUCCUAUCAGACCACUCGACGUCUCUCUCAUCUGCGUGUGGUCGUCGGCGACCACGCUCCACUUUCAGCCGUGGCCAGGAGACCGGAUGCAGCCCCACCCUGUCACGACUCCUCGACCGAAGCAACGGCUGGAACGCUUGUCUUCUUCCACUCCGGCGGUCAAACCGCAAUAGAUCUGGCCCGGAAGAACAACCAAGAGGAGCACGAUCUGCGGGCGAGGCGAAGCAUCUUUUUCCACUCCGACGGGGAGAGCACCUGCAGCCAUCGUUCCUCCAGAUUUGAUCUGCAAUUUCGGGGAUGGAUCAGUGCGUAUGAUGAAGCUGUGAUGUAUCUAUUGAUGAAUCAAAUUCUCGUAGUUAUUAUGUGAUGUCUUGGAUAAUUGAUUUGUGCUUAAACACGGGAACAAUGUAUUAAAAAUGUACAUUUUCUGAUGGAUCUACCACUGUCAUGUUUGUGAUGCUUACCGGCUGAAUGGGAAUCAGUGUUAAUUUCAUGGUAUCCAUGACUUACUCACGACGUCAUUGUAAUUCUUGUAAUACAGUUGUAUGAUUGUGAAGGCAAGCGUUGGUUUGGGCAA